GCCCUCGUAGCUCAGGGGAUAGAGCGUCUGCCUCCGGAGCAGAAGGCCGCAGGUUCGAUUCCUGCCGAGGGCACC
rnacentral:tRNA from 1 species